GUGCUCACUUCAGCAGCAUAUACACUAAAAUUGGAACGAUACAGAGAAGAUUAGCAUGGCCUCUAAGCAAGGAUGACAUGCAAAUCGUGGUGUUCCAUAUUUUA